rnacentral:rRNA from 1 species
UACGGGGGGCAGCAGUAGGGAAUCUUCGGCAAUGGACGAAAGUCUGACCGAGCAACGCCGCGUGAGUGAAGAAGGUUUUCGGAUCGUAAAACUCUGUUGUUAGAGAAGAACAAGGAUGAGAGUAGAACGUUCAUCCCUUGACGGUAUCUAACCAGAAAGCCACGGCUAACUACGUGCCAGCAGCCGCGGUAAUACGUAGGUGGCAAGCGUUGUCCGGAUUUAUUGGGCGUAAAGCGAGCGCAGGCGGUUUCUUAAGUCUGAUGUGAAAGCCCCCGGCUCAACCGGGGAGGGUCAUUGGAAACUGGGAGACUUGAGUGCAGAAGAGGAGAGUGGAAUUCCAUGUGUAGCGGUGAAAUGCGUAGAUAUAUGGAGGAACACCAGUGGCGAAGGCGGCUCUCUGGUCUGUAACUGACGCUGAGGCUCGAAAGCGUGGGGAGCGAACAGGAUUAGAUAC